rnacentral:rRNA from 1 species
GGUAGUGACGAAAAAUAACAAUACCGGACUCAAUGAGGCUCGGUAAUUGAAAUGAGUACAGUUUAAAACCCUUAACGAGGAUCUAUUGGAGGGGCAAGUCUGGUGCCAGCAGCCGCGGUAAUUCCAGCUCCAAUAGCGUAUAUUAAAGUUGUUGCAGUUAAAAAGCUCGUAGUUGGAUCUCGGGUACUAGCAUGUGGUUCGCUUUACUGUCGUAACUACAUGUCUGGUCCUAAUUAAUCGGUUGGCCGUUGAUGUCCUUUACUGGGUGUUUUCGGUAGCCGGUACGUUUACUUUGAGAAAAUUAGAGUGCUUAAAGCAGGCUUUCGCCUGAAUAAUGUUGCAUGGAAUAAUAGAAUAGGACCUCGGUUCUAUUUUGUUGGUUUUGUAGAGCAUUGAGGUAAUGAUUAAUAGGGACAGACGGGGGCAUUCGUAUUGCGUUGUUAGAGGUGAAAUUCUUGGAUCGACGCAAGACGAACAACUGCGAAAGCAUUUGCCAAGAAUGUUUUCAUUAAUCAAGAACGAAAGUUGGAGGUUCGAAGACGAUUAGAUACCGUCCUAGUUCCAACCAUAAACGAUGCCAACUAGCGAUUAGCUGCUGUUAAUCAAACGACA